rnacentral:misc_RNA from 1 species
GAUGAAGAACGUAGCGAAAUGCGAUAAGUAAUGUGAAUUGCAGAAUUCCGUGAAUCAUCGAAUCUUUGAACGCACAUAGCGCCCCCUGGUAUUCCGGGGGGCAUGCCUGUCCGAGCGUCAUUGCAACCUUCAAGCGCGGCUUGUGUGUUGGGUCUCGUCCCCCGUGGACGGGCCCGAAAGGCAGUGGCGGCGUCCCGACAUGGUGCCCGAGCGUAUGGGAAUCCUCUUCCGCUCGAAUCGGCCCAUGCGGCGCUGGUCGUAACCAAAUUUUUUACCGGUUGACCUCGGAUCAGGUAGGGAUACCCGCUGAACUUAAGCAUAUCAAUAAGCGGAGGA